rnacentral:rRNA from 1 species
CCUACGGGAGGCAGCAGUGGGGAAUAUUGCACAAUGGGGGAAACGCUGAUGCAGCGACGCCGCGUGAGUGACGAAGUAAUUCGUUGUGUAAAGCUCUAUCAGCAGGGAAGAAAAUGACGGUCCCUGAGUAAUAAGCCCCGUCUAACUACGUGCCAGCAGCCGCGGUACUACGUAGGGGGCAAGCGUUAUCCGGAGUUACUGGGUGUAAAGGGAACUUAGACGGCAGGGCAAGUCUGGAGUGAAAGGCGGGGACUCAACCCCCGGACUCCUCUGGAAACUGUACGGCUGGAGUGCAGGAGAGGUAAGUGGAAUGCGUAGUGUAGCGGUGAAAUGCGUAGAUAUUAGGAGGAACACCAGUGGCGAAGGCGGCUUACGGGACUGUAACUGACGUUGAGGCUCGAAAGCGUGGGGAGCAAACAGGAUUAGAUACCCGGGUAGUC